rnacentral:rRNA from 1 species
AUAAGUUUCUUAUUCUUUGCAAAGCAUGGCCUUUGCUAACAGGCUAGGCUAGCGGCCUGAAUCCUUUCCGUCAGCGGUCAGCAUGCGAUAGAGGUAACCGGAGAUGAUCGGACAGCGUCUGAAGCGCCGAAUUAUUGGCGAAUAUUUGCACUCCGCUGCUUGAAAUUACACCGUUUUUUCGCGUAAGAGCACAAAAUGUGAGCAAGAGAACGUUUUAUGCAAAUUUUUAGUUGCAUGAACUCGCUCCUCUCCCUAGAAUGCGCGCUACUUGAUGCCGACUUAGCUCAGUAGGUAGAGCAACUGACUUGUAAUCAGUAGGUCACCAGUUCGAUUCCGGUAGUCGGCACCAUAACAAUUUGGGUGGGGUUCCCGAGCGGCCAAAGGGAGCAGACUGUAAAUCUGCCGUCAUCGACUUCGAAGGUUCGAAUCCUUCCCCCACCACCACUUUCUGGCGACGCUUUGCGGAGCCGGAGUUGGUUGGGUAAACUAAUCAGCUCAAUACUAAAGAGAGCAGUCUCUUUAGUAUUACAGAAAGAACUGGGUAGCCGAGUUUCAGGAUGCGGGCAUCGUAUAAUGGCUAUUACCUCAGCCUUCCAAGCUGAUGAUGCGGGUUCGAUUCCCGCUGCCCGCUCCAGACGUGCUGAUAUGGCUCAGUUGGUAGAGCGCACCCUUGGUAAGGGUGAGGUCCCCAGUUCGACUCUGGGUAUCAGCACCACUUCUUUUCUCUCCUUCCCUGUUUCUCUUCUGUUAUGUUCAUUCAACAAGUCGGGCAUGUUGCCUGGUUGAUGUGGUGAUAUCACCGAUUUAUCCGUGUCUUAGAGGGACAAUCGAUGUCUAAAGAAAAGUUUGAACGUACAAAACCGCACGUUAACGUCGGUACUAUCGGCCACGUUGACCAUGGUAAAACAACGCUGACCGCUGCCAUCACUACCGUACUGGCUAAAACCUACGGUGGUUCCGCUCGCGCAUUCGACCAGAUCGAUAACGCGCCGGAAGAAAAAGCUCGUGGUAUCACCAUCAACACCUCUCACGUUGAAUAUGACACCCCGACUCGCCACUACGCGCACGUAGACUGCCCGGGCCACGCCGACUAUGUUAAAAACAUGAUCACCGGUGCUGCGCAGAUGGACGGCGCGAUCCUGGUUGUUGCUGCGACUGACGGCCCGAUGCCGCAGACUCGUGAGCACAUCCUGCUGGGUCGUCAGGUAGGCGUUCCGUACAUCAUCGUGUUCCUGAACAAAUGCGACAUGGUUGAUGACGAAGAGCUGCUGGAACUGGUUGAGAUGGAAGUUCGUGAACUGCUGUCUCAGUACGAUUUCCCGGGCGACGGUUGUCCCGGUUUAAGCAUGUAGGCUGAUUGUCCAGGCAAAUCCGGAUAAUCAAGGCUGAGGUGUGAUGACGAGGCACUACGGUGCUGAAGUAACAAAUGCCCUGCUUCCAGGAAAAGCCUCUAAGCAUCAGGUAACAUCAAAUCGUACCCCAAACCGACACAGGUGGUCAGGUAGAGAAUACCAAGGCGCUUGAGAGAACUCGGGUGAAGGAACUAGGCAAAAUGGUGCCGUAACUUCGGGAGAAGGCACGCUGGUGUGUAGGUGAAGCCCCUGCGGGUGGAGCUGAGACCAGUCGAAGAUACCAGCUGGCUGCAACUGUUUAUUAAAAACACAGCACUGUGCAAACACGAAAGUGGACGUAUACGGUGUGACGCCUGCCCGGUGCCGGAAGGUUAAUUGAUGGGGUUAUCCGUAAGGAGAAGCUCUUGAUCGAAGCCCCGGUAAACGGCGGCCGUAACUAUAACGGUCCUAAGGUAGCGAAAUUCCUUGUCGGGUAAGUUCCGACCUGCACGAAUGGCGUAAUGAUGGCCAGGCUGUCUCCACCCGAGACUCAGUGAAAUUGAACUCGCUGUGAAGAUGCAGUGUACCCGCGGCAAGACGGAAAGACCCCGUGAACCUUUACUAUAGCUUGACACUGAACAUUGAGCCUUGAUGUGUAGGAUAGGUGGGAGGCUUUGAAGCGUGGACGCCAGUCUGCGUGGAGCCAACCUUGAAAUACCACCCUUUAAUGUUUGAUGUUCUAACGUUGGCCCCUUACCGGGGUUGCGGACAGUGUCUGGUGGGUAGUUUGACUGGGGCGGUCUCCUCCCAAAGCGUAACGGAGGAGCACGAAGGUUAGCUAAUCCUGGUCGGACAUCAGGAGGUUAGUGCAAUGGCAUAAGCUAGCUUGACUGCGAGCGUGACGGCGCGAGCAGGUGCGAAAGCAGGUCAUAGUGAUCCGGUGGUUCUGAAUGGAAGGGCCAUCGCUCAACGGAUAAAAGGUACUCCGGGGAUAACAGGCUGAUACCGCCCAAGAGUUCAUAUCGACGGCGGUGUUUGGCACCUCGAUGUCGGCUCAUCACAUCCUGGGGCUGAAGUAGGUCCCAAGGGUAUGGCUGUUCGCCAUUUAAAGUGGUACGCGAGCUGGGUUUAGAACGUCGUGAGACAGUUCGGUCCCUAUCUGCCGUGGGCGCUGGAGAAUUGAGGGGGGCUGCUCCUAGUACGAGAGGACCGGAGUGGACGCAUCACUGGUGUUCGGGUUGUCAUGCCAAUGGCACUGCCCGGUAGCUAAAUGCGGAAGAGAUAAGUGCUGAAAGCAUCUAAGCACGAAACUUGCCCCGAGAUGAGUUCUCCCUGAGACUUUAAGUCUCCUGAAGGAACGUUGAAGACGACGACGUUGAUAGGCCGGGUGUGUAAGCGCAGCGAUGCGUUGAGCUAACCGGUACUAAUGAACCGUGAGGCUUAACCUU